rnacentral:rRNA from 1 species
GAUGAACGCUGGCGGCGUGCCUAAUACAUGCAAGUCGUGCGGCAGCGGGCCCUUCGGGGUGCCGGCGAGCGGCGGACGGCUGAGUAACGCGUGGGAACGUGCCCCAAAGUGAGGGAUAACUCCGGGAAACCGGAGCUAAUACCGCAUAUGGUCUUCGGAUUAAAGCUUCGGCGCUUCGGGAGCGGCCCGCGUCUGAUUAGAUUGUUGGUGAGGUAAUGGCUCACCAAGUCGACGAUCUGUAGCUGGUCUGAGAGGACGAACAGCCACACUGGGACUGAGACACGGCCCAGACUCCUACGGGAGGCAGCAGUGGGGAAUUUUGGACAAUGGGCGCAAGCCUGAUCCAGCAAUGCCGCGUGCAGGAUGAAGGCCUUCGGGUUGUAAACUGCUUUUGCACGGAACGAAAAGCCCCGGGUUAAUACCCUGGGGUCAUGACGGUACCGUAAGAAUAAGCACCGGCUAACUACGUGCCAGCCGCCGCCGUAA